UACGUAGGGGGCAAGCGUUGCCCGGAAUCAUUGGGCGUAAAGAGCGCGUAGGCGGCCCUGUAAGUCCGCUGUGAAAGUCAAGGGCUCAACCCUUGGAUGCCGGUGGAUACUGCAGGGCUAGAGUCCGGAAGAGGCGAGUGGAAUUCCUGGUGUAGCGGUGAAAUGCGCAGAUAUCAGGAGGAACACCGAUGGCGAAGGCAGCUCGCUGGGACGGUACUGACGCUGAGGCGCGAAAGCGUGGGGAGCAAUCAGG
rnacentral:rRNA from 1 species